ACCAUCCAGUUAACAUCCACAGACAAGAAGACGAAGGUGCUCACCGGACAUUGAAGAGUAAACAGGCAGAUAACGCACAUUGCCUUGAGUGUGUCCCACUCUCCAACUAAGUAUUCAGUUGUGAAUACUGUUGAGGUUGGUGGUUCGUCCAGGGGACAUGCAGCCAGAGGAUUGCCCGUGGUAUCAUGGGUGGCUGAGCUACGCGUGGAUUGCGAGGAAAUCUGCUAAACCAGUAGAUCUAGGCAGUUCUGUAUUUAUUGCAGACAGCAGGCAAUUUUUUUUUAGCCACGUACACAAACGCAGGUUCUUGCCUCAGAGAUAGUAGGAACUGCAGAUGCUGGAGAAUCUGGGAUAACGACAUGUAGAGCUGGAUGAACACAGCAGGUCAAGCCGCAUAAGAGGAGCAGGAAGGCUGACGCUCCGGGCCUGGACCCUGCUGGUUUUUGCCUUCCUGGUGCCAGGCUCCUGGAUGCCACUGAGUGGCUGCAGAACAUUCUGGAGGAGGCAUGGCGAAUAGCCCGAGCUCAUGAUCUAGAUGAGUUCCAGUGACACUGUUUGGGAAAAAAAGUUGAGUUUCAGGAAGCAAGAGAUUAAAAAACAGAUCUUAAAGAAAUGCAGAAUUCUGUGAGAGCGUUCACUUUCGCUGUUCGUAGAAACACUUGUCAUUGCCCUGCAAUGUGUCCAGCUUCAUGGUGCAGUGUACGGGAAUGGCAUCUAUCUUAGCCCAUUGUCAAGUAUUUCUUUU